AAAAAAAAAAACCAAAAAAAAAAUUGGCCAAAAAUAAAAAAUUUUUUUUUUGGGUUUUUUUUUUUUUUUUUUUUUU
rnacentral:ribozyme from 16 species